ACUCCUACGGGAGGCAGCAGUGAGGAAUAUUGGUCAAUGGACGCAAGUCUGAACCAGCCAUGUCGCGUGCAGGAAGACUGCCCUAUGGGUUGUAAACUGCUUUUAUACGGGAAGAAAUAUAGCUACGUGUAGUUAUUUGCCGGUACCGUAUGAAUAAGCAUCGGCUAACUCCGUGCCAGCAGCCGCGGUAAUACGGAGGAUGCGAGCGUUAUCCGGAUUCAUUGGGUUUAAAGGGUGCGUAGGCGGAAGUAUAAGUCAGGGGUGAAAGUUUGUGGCUCAACCAUAAAAUUGCCUUUGAUACUGUAUUUCUUGAGUACAUUUGAGGUAGGCGGAAUGUGUUGUGUAGCGGUGAAAUGCUUAGAUAUAACACAGAAACACCGAUUGCGAAGGCAGCUUACUAAAACUGUAAACUGACGCUGAUGCACGAAAAAGCGUGGGGA
rnacentral:rRNA from 1 species